rnacentral:misc_RNA from 1 species
GGCCGUCGUUCGUGCUGAUGCGAGUGUUGCAACGACAUACAUUCCCGCUGCUCCGAUUCUCCUUCCAGAAGGACCGUGGAAGCUGGUUACCGGUGGUGUUACUGCCGCGAAAGGGUUCAAAGCUGCAGGCAUAUAUGGUGGGCUGCGUGCAAAAGGGGAGAAGCCUGAUCUGGCAUUAGUGACUUGCGAUGUUGAUGCAAU